rnacentral:lncRNA from 1 species
GACAGGGAGGGAGGGAUCAGUGAGACAGGGAGGGAGGGCUCAGUGGGAUGUGGAGGGUUAAGGAGGGAGGGCUCAGUGAGACAGGGAGUGUUAGAGAGGGAGGGAUCAGUGGGACGGGACGGUUAGGGAGGGGGCUCAGUGGGAUGUGGGGGUAAGGAGGGAGGGAUCAGUGAGACAGGGAGUGUUAGAGAGGGAGGGAUCAGUGGGAUGUGGAGGGUUAACGAGGAGAGAUCAGUGAGACAGGAGGUUUUAAGAGGGAGGGAUCAGUGGGACGGGGAUGGUUGGGGAGGGAGGGAUCAGUGAGACAGGGAGGGAGGGCUCAGUGGAUUGAGGCUUAAGGAGGGAGGGAUCAGUGAGACAGGGAGUGUUAGAGAGGGAGGGAUCAGUGGGAUGUGGAGGGUUAACGAGGGAGGAAUCAGUGAGACAGGGAGUGUUAGAGAGGGAGGGAUCAGUGGGACGGGGACGGUUAGGGAGGGAGGGAUCAGUGGGAUGGGGACGGUUAAGGAAGGAGGAAUCAGUGAGACAGGGAGUGUUAAAGAGGGAGGGAUCAGUGGGACGGGGGAGGGAUCAGUGGGACAGGGAGGAUUAGAGAGGGAGGGAUCAUGGGACAGGGAGGGUUAGGGAGGGAGGGAUCAGUGAGACAUGGAGUGUUAGAGAGGGAGGGAUCAGUGAGACAGUGAGGAGGCCUCAGUGGGAUGUGGAGGCUUAAGGAGGGAGGGAUCAGUGAGACAGGGAGUG